rnacentral:lncRNA from 1 species
CCUUGGGGUGGUUCGGACGACUGCCCCCAUUUCUCCCAGCCAGCAUGGCUCGCCGCCCACACAGCCGGGAGCUAUGGGAGCUGUAGUCCAACCAAGGGCUUGCAUGCAAAUGCAGGAGAGAGCCACCAGUGUGUGGGGGGGGAACGGAGUGUGUCAAAUGAAAAGACUCAGCUUGGUUCCCUCCUUUAUUGUUUCCCUCCUUUGUUUUUUCCUGCCAGUGGGGGGAACCUUUAUUGCAAACAGUCAGGGCCGCCAAGAGGGAACCCGUCCUCUUCUCCUUCUUCGGCCGCCUGCUCUUCUAUUUUUUUGCCUGCCACGGUGACAGGGCGGCAGUCUAUUUUAGGGCCUGAUAGACCCAAUCCGAGUCGGCCGGUGCCUCGGACCAAGGAUGCUGCUGCUUGGGGCCCGAGGCCUCGGUUUGGGCGGCCCUUUGGAGGACGCUGGUGGGAACCGUGUGGAAGCGCGGUGGGGUCCCUCUGGCCUGCUGCUCCGGCUCCCGGGCCUUGCGGCACGGCUCUUGGGUCUCAAACUCCUCCUGCUGAUCUUCCUCGCUGCCACUUGUGGCUCCCCGGCGCCGGUGGAGCCUCUCCGGGCUGGCCGAUCGGCUCCCGGGGGGCGUCUGGGGGAGCACCGGGUAGAUGUACACUUUGGUCGGCCGAUGGGAGCGUGGCCGGAGUCCUCCUGUAUAUUCAGCAUCGUGGCUGGCCCCUACCAGGCGGUAGCGGGUCUCCCCCACCUGCGUCCGGGGGUAGAGUUCUGUGCCCACGGCCAUGUCAUUCCGGCGUUCCUGGCUGCCCGGAUAUAACAUGGGCUCGGAGGCGCCGUCGGCCACAUCCCGGCAGCGAACGAUGGGGGCAUAAGCAGCAGGGGCCGAGGCGGCGCGCAGACGGUACCGGUUCUCGCAGUCACAAGAUUUCUUGGAACAAAACGGUGGCUUCAGACUCAUUUUUCAUUUUACUUUUGUCCUCUCCCCUGUAUUUUUGUGGCCGUUGAGACAUCGUUGAAAGCUAGAUAGGCUGCAAAAACGCAUUAGAAGAAUAUUACACUCUGUUUUCCAAUCGAAUGCCUCCCAAAGGAGCAUACAAUAAAUUGAAAAAGAACUGCUGUUUCA